rnacentral:sRNA from 1 species
CAGCUGAGUUCUUUAGUGAGGAGCAGUCUGAGGUUGAAGAAGAAGAUGUAGACUCCAUUGAAGACAAGGAUAAAAGAAAAAGAAUUGGAAGUGUGGGAUCUCAGACUUCAAACAAAGAAAAAAAUAAUGGUGACAAUCCAACUGAGGAAAAUGAAGCAGAAGCUUAUGGAGAGAAAAAUAGUGAGAGGCAGGAGCCCACUGAAACAGAAGGU